ACUAAUGCCGAAUCCAUUCAUUUUUGCGCUAAGAAGAAGCGAGUUCUUUCAAUGGCGUGGAUUUCACAAGUGCUCGAGCGGAACCGGGAAUGGAGUUGAAGAGAUCAAGAAGACUACGCGAUUCUGGCUAGGGUUAGGGCUAGAAGACACGUACGCGAUUUCUUUAUUUUUGUUCGAGUUCUCCAUGCCGGGCUCUUAACUUCCGCUACAUUCUUGUCGACGUUGAUGUUCAGCAUGUUCUCGGUGGCGGGGAGCACAGUGAAUGAGGUCGAAGAUGACGACAAGGGGAAGAAGAUGGUGGCCAGAAAACAGAGGAGAGCAUAUAGAAGAGGAUGCUGAAUCCGCUCUUGAGACACAAUCCCGUCAUCUGCUCAAUCUAGGGUUUCGUUUGAUGGGGGCGAGUAAUUGGGUUGAGGAAGAGGAWGACAAGCGGAGAAGAACCGAGCGAGGAGAAGCGAAGCGUUGAAAUUUCAGAAGGGUUCGAACGUAAUUGAAAUGAAGUGGAAAAUCGAGAAGAGAUGCCAACUCUGCCGCAAUCGCCUAGGGUUUCUCGCAGACCAGCUUUUUGAAGCUUGUACGCUCAUAUUCCUAACAUCCCGGUUUAGGAGUUGCUAAUAGAAUCUGGAUUUUGAGAUAUACAUCAUUCAGUUUCUUUUUGUGACAUUGCUGUGCUGGACUUUGCUGGUAGAGAUUUCAGCGCUUUAUGGUUGAUUGGGAGGAAAUUAGCCGUUCUCAGGAGGGAAAGCAACCAACCAUCAUCCUUGACUAUCAUUUACCGUUAUGAGUAUAGGCUUUGCUUGAAUCUACCCAACAAUGAGUGAAAUUACUUAGCAGUUGGUGGCACACGCACAAGGGAAGCGACAUUAGACUAAUUUGACCAAGAGAAACAGCCCUUAAAGCCUAUGAGGCUCCUGCCCCAACCUCAACAUGCAUGCGCAACCAUCUUGGAAGUUAUGAGUGUAAGAUUUAAUCGGCCCACAUGCAAGGGAAGCGGCAUCGGACUUCUUUCGUGAAGAGUAGCCAAAAAGGUUUCUGCUCAACCCCACCUCACAAGUGAGCCGGAAGAGUAACUUAUCACAAAUGUGACCAGCUUGCCUCCAUUGACACCGACGUCCUCGGAAUCACCAUCACCACUUCAUUCAUUCCCUUACUUGAAAUUCAAAGUCUACAAAUUCACUAUCACGCCGUCUUCGAUGAUCUCUCAAUUACGUUCGCAACUACUUGGCCGACCUAAUUUUUUCCUGUGUUCGAGAGAGAAUUGAAAAAGAGAAACGGAAGGGUGAGGCGAAGAUAAACA